rnacentral:rRNA from 1 species
CCUACGGGAGGCAGCAGUGAGGAAUAUUGGUCAAUGGGCUUACGCCUGAACCAGCCAAGUCGCGUGAGGGAAGACUGCUCUAUGGGUUGUAAAUCUCUUUUUUCAGGGAGCAACGCCGGCUACGUGUAGCCUGACUGAGAGUACCUGAAGUAAAAGCAUCGGCUAAGUCCGUGCCAGCAGCCGCGGUAAUACGGAGGAUGCGAGCGUUAUCCGGAUUUAGUGGGUUUAAAGGGUGCGUGGGCGGGCUUUUAAGUCAGCGGUAAAAAUUCGUGGCUAAACCCCGUACGGCCGUUGAAACUGGGAGCCUAGAGUAGGCGAGAGGAAGGCGGAAUGCGUGGUGUAGCGGUGAAAUGCGUAGAGAUCACGCAGAACCCUGAUUGCGAAGGCGGCCUUCCGGCGCCCUACUGACGCUGAGGCACGAAAGUGUGGGGAUCGAACAGGAUUAGAUACCCCUGUAGUC